rnacentral:rRNA from 1 species
GAUGAACGCUAGCGGCAGGCUUAAUACAUGCAAGUCGAACGGUAAGGUCUCUUCGGAGAUACACGAGUGGCGCACGGGUGCGUAACGCGUAUGCAACCUACCUUUAACUGGGAAAUAGCCCCGAGAAAUCGGGCUUAAUGUCCCAUAUUAUUCUCUGAUAGCAUUUUCGGGGAACGAAAGCUCCGGCGGUUAUUGAUGGGCAUGCGUGACAUUAGCUAGUUGGUGAGGUAACGGAUCACCAAGGCAACGAUGUGUAGGGGUCCUGAGAGGGUUAACCCCCACACUGGUACUGAGACACGGACCAGACUCCUACGGGAGGCAGCAGUAAUGAAUAUUGAGCAAUGGACGCAAGUCUGACCCAGCCAUGCCGCGUGAAGGAUGACUGUCCUAGGGAUUGUAAACUUCUUUUAUGCAGGAAAAAUAGCCUGGUCGUGAACCGGGUUUGAUGGUACUGUAUGAAUAAGCAUCGGCUAACUCCGUGCCAGCCGCCGCGGUAA